rnacentral:tRNA from 1 species
GAGGGUAUAGCUCAGUGGUAGAACACAUGAUUAGCAUGCAUGAGGUCCUGGGUUCAGUCCCCAGUAUCUCCA